rnacentral:rRNA from 1 species
GAUGAACGCUGGCGGCGUGCCUAAUACAUGCAAGUCGAGCGAACAGAUGAGGCGCUUGCUCCUCUGACGUUAGCCGAGGACGGGUGAAUAACGCGUGUAUCACCUACCUAUAAGACUGAGAUAACUUCGGGACACCGGAGCUAAUACCGGAUAAUAUAUUGAACCGCAUGGUUCAAUAGUGAAAGACGGCUUUGCUGGCACUUCUAGAUGGAUCCGCGCCGCAUUAGCUAGUUGGUAAGGUAAAGGCUUACCAAGGCAACGAUGCGUAGCCGACCUGAGAGGGUGAUCGGCCACACUGGAGCGUAGACACGCUCCAGACUCCUACGGGAGGCAGCAGUAGGGAAUCUUCCGCAAUGGUCGAAAGCCUGACGGAGCAACGCCGCGUGAGUGAUGAAGGUCUUCGGAUCGUAAAACUCGGUUAUGAGGGAAGAACAAAUGUGUAAGUAACUAUGCACGUCUUGACGGUACCUAGUCAGAAAGCCACGGCUAACUACGUG